GUGACCUGAGCUGAAAUCGAGAGAUGCUUAACCGACUGAGCCCCCCUGGCACCCCCAACUCUUGUGAUUUUCUUAUUCAGCUGUGGUUCCACUGCACCUCAGACUAGUUUCACCAGUCCAAGGGGGCCCUCUCUAGUAAGCUGACCAGAUGGAUGAGAAGAUGCCCUCCCACGGCUGGCGGAUCUCAGAGGAGACUCAGCCUCUUAGCCCAAGAAACCUCCGCACGGGGAGAGGAAUUUCUGUGUCCUCGGAUUGGUCUACACAGUAGUCCCACCAGCCCCCAUCUGCAGUUUUCCUCUCCAUGGUUUUAGUUACCUGCAAUCAAGAGGAACCAGAAACAGACGAUCCUCCUUCUGACUGAUGGUCAGAAGGUCAGUGGUAGCCUAACGCUACAUCACAAGGCCCAGGUCAUUCCCCUCCCUUCAGCUCAUCACGUAGGCAUUUUAUCACCUCAUAUCAUCACAGGAAGAAGGGUGAGUAGUACAGUGCAGUAAGAGAUUUGGAGAGAGAGAGACAUAACUUUUAUUAUAGUAUAGUCUUAUAAUUGUUCUGUUUAAUAUUAUCGUUGUUCAUCUCUUACUGUGCCUGAUUUCUAAAUUAAACUUUAUCAUAGGUGUGUAU